rnacentral:lncRNA from 1 species
AGGAGCAAACAAAUUAAAUACUUACGGUACCAGAAGGCAUCACUAGUUCCCUUCUAGGACUCAACUUUAAUACAUUCGUUGGAGCAGAAGGGCAACCACAGGAACAUAACAAAUCUGCCAACAGUAAAUUUCAUUUCCAUCAUUAAAACCCAACGUUUGUAGAUUCAAGAGGCAUUCAAUAGUUCCCUGCUCGGACUCCAUCAUUGAAAUCAGACACUUAUAGUAC